rnacentral:rRNA from 1 species
AUACGGAGGGUGCGAGCGUUAAUCGGAAUUACUGGGCGUAAAGCGUGCGUAGGCGGUUUGCUAAGUCAGAUGCGAAAGCCCCGGGCUUAACCUGGGAACUGCAUUUGAUACUGGCAGACUAGAGUAUGAUAGAGGGGGGUAGAAUUCCUGGUGUAGCGGUGAAAUGCGUAGAUAUCAGGAGGAAUACCAGUGGCGAAGGCGGCCCCCUGGAUCAAUACUGACGCUGAGGUACGAAAGCGUGGGGAGCGAACAGGAUUAGAAACCCGAGUAGUCC